AGGAAAACCCUCCAAACGGAAGGCUUCAAUCUCCGGGAGACGUCCAUUUGUAGCGGUAGCCUAUAAGAUAGAAUUUAUAUAUAUAAAAGAUAAAAAAAUAACCCGUUACAGCGGAAAGAGAAAUUUUUUUGUGCACCGCGGGCGAUGCAAGAUGCGCAUACCGCUCAUGCUGAUUUGUUCGUAUGCGAAGUUAGAGUACGGCAUAUGAAAAAAAAAACAUUUCUUCCAACCCAUGCGUGAGUCAAUUCCUGU
rnacentral:lncRNA from 1 species